GGCGGCAGGCCUAACACAUGCAAGUCGAGCGGUAGAGAGGUGCUUGCACCUCUUGAGAGCGGCGGACGGGUGAGUAAUACCUAGGAAUCUGCCUGGUAGUGGGGGAUAACGUUCGGAAACGGACGCUAAUACCGCAUACGUCCUACGGGAGAAAGCAGGGGACCUUCGGGCCUUGCGCUAUCAGAUGAGCCUAGGUCGGAUUAGCUAGUUGGUGAGGUAAUGGCUCACCAAGGCUACGAUCCGUAACUGGUCUGAGAGGAUGAUCAGUCACACUGGAACUGAGACACGGUCCAGACUCCUACGGGAGGCAGCAGUGGGGAAUAUUGGACAAUGGGCGAAAGCCUGAUCCAGCCAUGCCGCGUGUGUGAAGAAGGUCUUCGGAUUGUAAAGCACUUUAAGUUGGGAGGAAGGGCAUUAACCUAAUACGUCAGUGCUUUGACGUUACCGACAGAAUAAGCACCGGCUAACUCUGUGCCAGCAGCCGCGGUAAUACAGAGGGUGCAAGCGUUAAUCGGAAUUACUGGGCGUAGAGCGCGCGUAGGUGGUUUGUUAAGUUGAAUGUGAAAUCCCCGGGCUCAACCUGGGAACUGCAUCCAAAACUGGCAAGCUAGAGUAUGGUAGAGGGUAGUGGAAUUUCCUGUGUAGCGGUGAAAUGCGUAGAUAUAGGAAGGAACACCAGUGGCGAAGGCGACUACCUGGACUGAUACUGACACUGAGGUGCGAAAGCG
rnacentral:rRNA from 1 species